rnacentral:rRNA from 1 species
CCUACGGGAGGCAGCAGUGAGGAAUAUUGGUCAAUGGGCGUAAGCCUGAACCAGCCAAGUCGCGUGAGGGAUGAAGGUUCUAUGGAUCGUAAACCUCUUUUAUAAGGGAAUAAAGUGUGGGACGUGUCCUAUUUUGUAUGUACCUUAUGAAUAAGGAUCGGCUAACUCCGUGCCAGCAGCCGCGGUAAUACGGAGGAUCCGAGCGUUAUCCGGAUUUAUUGGGUUUAAAGGGUGCGUAGGCGGCCUUUUAAGUCAGCGGUGAAAGUCUGUGGCUCAAACAUAGAAUUGCCGUUGAAACUGGGGGGCUUGAGUAUGUGUGAGGCAGGGGGAAUGCGUGGUGUAGCGGUGAAAUGCUUAGAUAUCACGAAGAACCCCGAUUGCGAAGGCAGCCUGCCAAGCCAUGACUGACGCUGAGGCGCGAAAGCGUGGGGAUCAAACAGGAUUAGAUACCCCUGUAGUC